rnacentral:rRNA from 1 species
GAAGGGGGCUAGCGUUGCUCGGAAUUACUGGGCGUAAAGGGCGCGUAGGCGGACAGUUAAGUUGGGGGUGAAAGCCCGGGGCUCAACCUCGGAAUUGCCUUCAAUACUGGCUGUCUUGAGUACGGGAGAGGUGAGUGGAACUCCGAGUGUAGAGGUGAAAUUCGUAGAUAUUCGGAAGAACACCAGUGGCGAAGGCGACUCACUGGCCCGUUACUGACGCUGAGGCGCGAAAGCGUGGGGAGCAAACAGGAUUAGAUACCCUGGUAGUCCACGCCGUAAACGAUGAGUGCUAGUUGUCGGCAUGCAUGCAUGUCGGUGACGCAGCUAACGCAUUAAGCACUCCGCCUGGGGAGUACGGUCGCAAGAUUA